rnacentral:rRNA from 1 species
UACGGAGGGGGCUAGCGUUGUUCGGAAUUACUGGGCGUAAAGCGCACGUAGGCGGACUGUUAAGUCGGGGGUGAAAUCCCGGGGCUCAACCCCGGAACUGCCUUCGAUACUGGCAGUCUGGAGGUCUGGAGAGGUGAGUGGAAUUCCGAGUGUAGAGGUGAAAUUCGUAGAUAUUCGGAGGAACACCAGUGGCGAAGGCGGCUCACUGGCCAGAUACUGACGCUGAGGUGCGAAAGCGUGGGGAGCAAACAGG